AAUGAACGCUGGCGGCAGGCCUAACACAUGCAAGUCGAACGGAUCCUUCGGGAUUAGUGGCGGACGGGUGAGUAACGCGUGGGAACAUACCCAAAGGUACGGAAUAGCCUCGGGAAACUGGGAGUAAUACCGUAUGUGCUCGAAAGAGGAAAGAUUUAUCGCCUUUGGAUUGGCCCGCGUUGGAUUAGGUAGUUGGUGGGUUAAUGGCCUACGAAGGCGACGAUCCAUAGCUGGUUUGAGAGGAUGAUCAGCCACACUGGGACUGAGACACGGCCCAGACUCCUACGGGAGGCAGCAGUGGGGAAUCUUAGACAAUGGGGGAAACCCUGAUCUAGCCAUGCCGCGUGAUCGAUGAAGGCCUUAGGGUUGUAAAGAUCUUUCAGGUGGGAAGAUAAUGACUGUACCACCAGAAGAAGCCCCGGCUAACUCCGUGCCAGCAGCCGCCGUAA
rnacentral:rRNA from 1 species